rnacentral:rRNA from 1 species
ACGAUGGAUACUCGCUGCGGGCUAAAGAUUGUCCGUGGCUUAGUGAAAACGAUAAGUAUCCCACCUGGGGAGUACGCCGGCAACGGUGAAACUCAAAGGAAUUGACGGGGGCCCGCACAAGUGGUGGAGCAUGUGGUUUAAUUCGAUGAUACGCGAGGAACCUUACCUAGGCUAGAAUGCGCGUGACCGGCUCAGAGAUGAGCCUUUCCUUCGGGACACAAAGCAAGGUGCUGCAUGGCCGUCGUCAGCUCGUGCCGUGAGGUGUUGGGUUAAGUCCCGCAACGAGCGCAACCCCUAUGGUUAGUUGCCAGCACGUAAUGGUGGGGACUCUAGCCAGACUGCCUGCGCAAGCAGUGAGGAAGGCGGGGACGACGUCAGGUCAUCAUGGCCCUUACGCCUAGGGCGACACACGUGCUACAAUGGACGGUACAGCGGGUAGCUACCAGGCGACUGGAUGCCAAUCUCGAAAAGCCGUUCUCAGUUCGGAUUGGAGUCUGCAACUCGACUCCAUGAAGCUGGAAUCACUAGUAAUCGCGCAUCAGCCAUGGCGCGGUGAAUACGUUCCCGGGCCUUGUACACACCGCCCGUCAAGCCAUGAAAGUCUGGUAGACCUGAAGCUGGUGCUCGUCACAGAAGCCA